rnacentral:rRNA from 1 species
AGAACGAACGCUGGCGGCACGCCUAACACAUGCAAGUCGAGCGCCCAGCAAUGGGAGCGGCGGACGGGUGAGGAACACGUGGGAACAUGCCUUUCGGUUCGGCACAACUGCGGGAAACUGCAGCUAAUUCCGGAUACGCCCUUACGGGGAAAGAUUUAUCGCCGAAAGAUUAGCCCGCGUCUGAUUAGCUAGUUGGUGAGGUAAUGGCUCACCAAGGCUUCGAUCAGUAGCUGGUUUGAGAGAACGACCAGCCACACUGGGACUGAGACACGGCCCAGACUCCUACGGGAGGCAGCAGUGGGGAAUCUUGGACAAUGGAGGAAACUCUGAUCCAGCGAUGCCGCGUGAGUGAUGAAGGCCUUCGGGUUGUAAAACUCUUUUACCAGGGAAGAUAAUGACUGUACCUGGAGAAUAAGCUCCGGCUAACUUCGCGCCAGCAGCCGC